AUUUGUAAAUAUUAUUCCAAAGACGGCAGUUGUGUCUGUAUUAUUCCAAAUUUCAACUUUGAAAUGGAAACAGACAAUAUUUCUCAACAAGUUGAAGAAGUAGAAGUGCUCAAAUCCAUUUAUGAAAAUGAAUGGAUCGCCGAAGAUGGAAAUGAAUCUUUCAUUAUGAAAAUAUCUCCAUCUGUGAAACUGUUCAUCACCUUGCAUAUAGAUUAUCCCUCCGAAAAACCACCAAAAUUCGAACUAAUGGCUCCUGAAUUAUCUGCUGAUGAGAAGAUUAAGUUAUAUAAAGAAUUCAAGACGAUUUAUGAAGAAAGUAUGGGAAGCCCCAUUUUGUAUCAAUGGAUUGAAAAAUUGAAGGAGUAUACAAUUUUCAAACCUAAAAAUAUAAAUGAGAAAAAGAAAGCUAAAAGACAAAAAAAUAAGCCAAAUAAUGGUUUUGAAAGAUUUUCUAAGCAAGUUGUACAUGGACCAAUUAUAGAGGAUCGUAAAAGUGUAUUUCAGGGACAUGUAUGUGCUGUUAGCAGUGAAGCUGAAGUCAAAAAUUUCAUUGAGUUCCUGAUGGAAAAUAAGAAGAUUGCACAAGCCAAACAUAACAUAUAUGCAUAUAGAAUUUUUAAGAAUUCAUCAAUAUUACAGCGUGGCAAAGACCGCAACGUCUUGGAUCGCUUCAAAGUCUGCGACAAACUAAGAACUUCGUGAAAUUUUAUGCAAUUUUAUUGGCGAGUGCUGUUACUGCUUGCCAGACUGUGAUGAUGAUGGUGAAAACCAUGCAAGUAAAAGAGUGUUGCAUUUACUGCAAUUGCUGAAUGUAGAGAACGUUAUAGUUGUUGUAUCUAGAUGGUAUGGAGGUAUACAGUUAGGACCUGAUAGGUUUAAACAUAUAAAAAAUGCAGCUAGACGCGCGUUGGUACAAGCUGGAUACGUUAAAUAAGUUUUUAUUUAUUUAUUAAACAAGAAAUAUAUAUUUAUACAA